CUACUUUGGCCUUACAUUUUAAAUACAGUUUGAAUCUACUUCAAUUUCCUGACAAUUUUCACUUCAGUAAGUAAUCCUGUUCACUAAACAGUACACUUAGACAAACUAAUUGCAAAAUGUAGCUUUAUUGACCUAUAUUUUAAAAUUCAGCUGCCAAUUCACCACAAGUCGCACAUGUGUAAAAGAUUGAAAUGCCCUAAACAUAAAGUAACAGGUAGGUACAUAAUAUACUGAUACUGCAAUUGCCCGAAGCAAUGCUUUGAUGGAGGACUUCAGAUAGCCAGGAUGUAUAUUUUCAAGUCUUCGGACUAAAAAUUAAACAAGCAAAAAGGAAAUCACUGAGGGGGGAUAUUAAAGUGACAUUUACAUUUUCUAGGAAGCAGUUCUUUAUGCAUGGAAUACAAAGCACAGACCUUUGUAACCGUGCGGUUUAUUUUGUGUCUAAUGUUGAGGAUGCAGCCAGCGCCUCGUCACUGUCAGCAUUUUUUUAAAAUUUCUCUCCAAUGUUUGUUCUUCUAGAACACAAUUCACCGUGACCUUUGUGGACAAAAUUGUCUGCUUUAGGGACUGCAGUGCAGUGGCUGCACAAGAUACUGGGAAGCCAGGUAGGGAAAUUUUAGCCAGGACUGCAACAUUAACAAAGCAUGAUCAGUUUAAAUAUGUAAUGUGUGAAAGUUCUAUUGGGCCCUAGGAUCAGUUUGCAUUAUUAGCUCCUCAUUUUAUUAAUAAGCAUGACAUUAAAAAAGAUAUAUUUUAAUUUGAGGCCUGACAUUAUACAGUAAAAUGAGAAUAGAAUAGAUACACUACUGCAGUUCUCGAAUUAGAAAGACAAAAUGGGAAAAUAUGGUACUACUCAACUGGAACGACAGGCCCCC